rnacentral:lncRNA from 1 species
CAACAUCAACAACACUCUGCUUGCUUCUCACCCAAGUUUUACCCCUUCACAUAUGUAUUUUUCCUUCAACCUAUUCUUAGAUUGCUCUUUCGACUCUACAAAGGUGGAGCCUAUUUUUCCUUUCCUCCAAUCAGAAUUGAACCUGAAACUCACUUUGGUCAACAGAACUUUAGCAGACGUGAGGUAAGCAGAGACUUGAAUAGUGCUUGUGCAUUGGCACUUGCUCUCCUGCUAGCCUUUGGGCCCCGAGACAACCAUGUGAAGAAGCCCAGGCUAGCCUGCUGGAAGGUGAAAGAUCACAAGGAGCAAAGCUGAUCCUCUACAGCUGAGGGCCCCCAGGCUGACCAGGCUGCCAACCACCAAGCAUAUGAGUGAGAUGACAUAGAUUAUCCAACCCCGGAUGAAGGAACUGCCAAAAUAACCCACAGAAUCAUGAAAAAUAAUAAACAAUUUCUGUUUUAAGGAAUUAAUUUGGGGGUGGUUUGUUAGGCAGCAAAAGCUAACUGAUACAAUCGAGUCACAGAUAGCGUAUUUCUAUGUCAUUGGUCAAAGCGGCAUGUCAGAUGGC